rnacentral:rRNA from 1 species
CCUGGCGGCACUAGCGCGGUGGUCCCACCUGACCCCAUGCCGAACUCAGUAGUGAAACGCCGUAGCGCCGAUGGUAGUGUGGGGUCUCCCCAUGUGAGAGUAGGGAACCGCCAGGU